ACUUAGCAAGAGAUUGUGACAUUUCCUUGGGGGAGUCGCCCUUAGCCUUUGUUUCUUUUAGUUGAAUAGACUGGGAAACAACCUUGUUGCUUGUUCUGUCUGUCUUGACCCUGGAAACGCUGGAUUCCGUGAACUAUCUCCACAGCACUACGAGUCAAUCAGCAUUUUGCUACCUGAAAGUCCAUUCUGCAACAGGAUCCUACAACAUCAGUCCUGGUCUACAGAGGUCAGCCACCACAGAGAGUCUCAACAAUGCUGGUGUCCCUAUGAAUCCCGUUUCCUUUGGUCCCUUCUUCCAUCAUUUGCCCCAACAAUACUGGCAUGUCUCCCAAGGUUCUUGUGGUCGAAGAAAAAAAUUAUUAUCGUAGUGGUUGCAAGGGGAGUGCACAGCUGGAGGAAUGCAUGUAGCCAGGUAGUGUCUUCUGCACCAUGCUCAGCGAGGGAGCGGCAGCUGCUAACAACAGGAAUAGGCCUUUCCAGAUCCAGAGUCCAGCCAAAUGUGAGCGUUUAGAUUCUUCACCCUAAAUCUUAGGGUACCACUCCUUCCCAAACAGAG